GUGUAUUUGGAGGUCGUUCGGAGGCAGUCUAAUAACAGACGGUCAGCGCGCAGACCCGAGAAAUCUGCAGCCUGUCACCCACACAUGCCGAAAAAUAGGAGCAGCGGCGGACGUCUAAACACAAAAGUCGGGGAGCAGAAGACGUGGCGCAGUAACAUUUGUCUCGGACAAACCUGGAGCCGGUGUCACCCCGGAACCGCUCGCUGGGACUGGCGUUUGCUCCUGAGGUUUUCACAAGUUCAAAAGGAAAUGAAGGAGAUGGAGCGACUGAGCUCAGGUUUACAUGUUCCUGUUUGUGUUUGGCGAAAUCACAGCUUGUUAAUUUUACCGCUGGAAUACACAGCGAGGAAGAGAAAUAAUAAACAGUUCGGUAGAGGUGAGCAGCCCGACAACUGGAUCUGACAUGUAGGUUUGAAACGUCUUUAGGAAAUCUGGAUCUCAUUUUGAUUAAACAAAGGAGAUUCCAAAAAAAUAGUAAAUCGUAGAGCUUAAGAUUUCUUUAAAAAAGUGUUUCCUGGUAAUAAGCUAAAAUAAUGUUCAAACCAUUGUCGGGGUGAAGACUCGACCCAGACUGGCUCCUCUAAAAAUUGAUAUUGGACACCUGAUAUUAACCUGAAUUUUCUACAUUAUAAAAUAAUAAAAAAAAAAAUAAUAAAGUUUUAAUAAUUGAUUUACUACCUAUUUAUUUCAGAGGUGACCACAAUUUGCCCCUUGGAGUGUCUAUUAUCAAUAAGCACCAGUUUUUUGCUUCAUACCAAAAGGUUCAGCCUUCACAUCGCCCUUGAAUUUCUGAUAGUAGACCCCUCAAAAGCACAUUGUCACUUACAUGUGUGUCAAUUCUAUGUGGCU